UAUGCUAGGGAUUAUACUGACCAUUAGUUCUGAUUACUGGGGAGGUUUUGAAGCGCAAAGUGGCCAUGAUGAUUGGAAUCGCUUUCAGAGUUUCUUGGCUUUGUUGCCUGCUAAUUGGAGGGAUAACCUGUUCUACAUCAAGUGAUGGGUAUCCUGCACUAGGUUCUGAUGCAACAUGGCUCUAUGCAGGCUCACUUGGGUCUACAGGAUAUGGUAAUUACAGCUCUCAAACAGCUCAAAUGCAAGCGCAGCUGACCGAAGAGCAACAAACAUCCGGAUGCCAUCCUGCAAAAACAACUGGCUC